CUUUUAUUUGUUCAUAUUCUCUAUAAUUUAAUACAAAUACUUGAGUAUUUAAUCCUCUGUUUACCUAAAGUGAUGCAUCAGGAUUAGAGAACAUGAUUCCAUCUACACUUCAAAGUAGUAGUAACACUGAGUUUCUAAAACAUUACUUUGUUUUUUUUUAACCCAGAACAACUUUGAAAGAACAUUUGAGAAUUCAUAGUGGGGAGAAACCUCAUCUUUGUAGUAUUUGUGGGCAGAGUUUUCGUCAUGGAAGUUCCUACAGACUUCAUCUACGAGUUCACCAUAAUGACAAAAGGUACGAAUGUGAAGAAUGUGGGAAAACGUUUAUUCGGCAUGAUCAUCUAACAAAACACAAAAAAAUACACUCAGAAAGUUACUUACUUUGACUGUCCAAACUCCCUCUGCUUACAUGAGAAGAAAUAUUCUGCCACUUUUUGAAAGAUCUCAAGAUGACUCAAAAGAAACAUCAAGACUUUUAAACAACAUAAAAGGUGAAAAAGCACAUCAGUGUGAGGAGUGUGGAAAGUGUUUUGGCCGUAGAGACCACCUAACUGUCCAUUACAAAAGUGUUCAUCUAGGAGAGAAAGUGUGGCA